CUGUCGAGCGGUAGCACAGGAGAGCUUGCUCUCUGGGUGACGAGCGGCGGACGGGUGAGUAAUGUCUGGGAAACUGCCUGAUGGAGGGGGAUAACUACUGGAAACGGUAGCUAAUACCGCAUAAUGUCUUCGGACCAAAGUGGGGGACCUUCGGGCCUCACGCCAUCAGAUGUGCCCAGAUGGGAUUAGCUAGUAGGUGGGGUAAUGGCUCACCUAGGCGACGAUCCCUAGCUGGUCUGAGAGGAUGACCAGCCACACUGGAACUGAGACACGGUCCAGACUCCUACGGGAGGCAGCAGUGGGGAAUAUUGCACAAUGGGCGCAAGCCUGAUGCAGCCAUGCCGCGUGUGUGAAGAAGGCCUUCGGGUUGUAAAGCACUUUCAGCGAGGAGGAAGGGUAGUGUGUUAAUAGCACAUUGCAUUGACGUUACUCGCAGAAGAAGCACCGGCUAACUCCGUGCCAGCAGCCGCGGUAAUACGGAGGGUGCAAGCGUUAAUCGGAAUUACUGGGCGUAAAGCGCACGCAGGCGGUUUGUUAAGUCAGAUGUGAAAUCCCCGCGCUUAACGUGGGAACUGCAUUUGAAACUGGCAAGCUAGAGUCUUGUAGAGGGGGGUAGAAUUCCAGGUGUAGCGGUGAAAUGCGUAGAGAUCUGGAGGAAUACCGGUGGCGAAGGCGGCCCCCUGGA
rnacentral:rRNA from 1 species